GGGCUUAUAGUUUAAUUGGUUGAAACGUACCGCUCAUAACGGUGAUAUUGUAGGUUCGAGCCCUACUAAGCCUACCACCCCCGU
rnacentral:tRNA from 2 species